rnacentral:rRNA from 1 species
UCAGACGAUGCGUCAUGCAUAUCAAUAAGCGGAGGAAAAGAAACUAACAAGGAUUCCCCUAGUAACGGCGAGUGAAGCGGGAAGAGCUCAAAUUUGAAAUCUUAAAGGGUUUCCCUUUACGAAUUGUAGUUUAAAGAAGUGUUUUCUGUUGAGGUUUUGGUAAAAGUUCUUUGGAAUAGGACAUCAUAGAGGGUGAGAAUCCCGUAUUUGACCUUUACUUUCAACUUUGUGAUACACCUUUCAAAGAGUCGGAUUGUUUGGGAAUGCAGUCCAAAAUGGGUGGUAAAUUUCAUCUAAAGCUAAAUAUUGGCGAGAGACCGAUAGCGAACAAGUACCGUGAGGGAAAGAUGAAAAGAACUUUGAAAAGAGAGUUAAACAGUACGUGAAAUUGUCAAAAGGGAAGCGUUUGACACCAGUGUUGUUUUUCUGAAAAUCAAUUAAAGAACUGUUUAUGCUAAGCUGUUUAGACUUUAUCAGCUAACUGUUUAGUUUUGAGCUUUUCUUUAAUGCACUUUUCAGUUAACAAGUCAACAUCAAUUUCUUUUGCUGUAAAAAAGCUUGAGGAAGGUGGCUUGAGAUUCGUCUUAAGUGUUUAUAGCCUCUUGCCUAUGCAGUCGGAGAGAUUGAGGUCUGCAGCGUAGAUCCUUCGGGGCUAAAUGCAUUUGUGCUAAGUUAUAGCAUUUUAUAGACAACUUGUUGACUAUGAUUUGUCUUGUAGCUUACUCGCUUAUGUUAUUUUACCUACGCUUAGGAUGUUGAAUCUGUGCGAGACUAC